rnacentral:rRNA from 1 species
GAUGAACGCUGGCGGCGUGCCUAAUACAUGCAAGUAGAACGCUGAAGGAGGAGCUUGCUCUUUCCGGAUGAGUUGCGAACGGGUGAGUAACGCGUAGGUAACCUGCCUGGUAGCGGGGGAUAACUAUUGGAAACGAUAGCUAAUACCGCAUAACAGUAGAUAUUGCAUGAUAUUUGCUUGAAAGGGGCAAUUGCUCCACUACCAGAUGGACCUGCGUUGUAUUAGCUAGUUGGUGAGGUAACGGCUCACCAAGGCGACGAUACAUAGCCGACCUGAGAGGGUGAUCGGCCACACUGGGACUGAGACACGGCCCAGACUCCUACGGGAGGCAGCAGGGAAUCUUCGGCAAUGGACGGAAGUCUGACCGAGCAACGCCGCGUGAGUGAAGAAGGUUUUCGGAUCGUAAAGCUCUGUUGUAAGAGAAGAACGAGUGUGAGAGUGGAAAGUUCACACUGUGACGGUAUCUUACCAGAAAGGGACGGCUAACUACGUG